UACGGAGGGUGCAAGCGUUAUCCGGAUUCACUGGGUUUAAAGGGUGUGUAGGCGGAUUUUUAAGUCAGUGGUGAAAUCUCCGGGCUCAACCCGGAAACUGCCAUUGAUACUAUUAGUCUUGAAUUCUGUUGAGGUGGGCGGAAUACAUCAUGUAGCGGUGAAAUGCUUAGAUAUGAUGUAGAACACCGAUUGCGAAGGCAGCUCACUAAGCAGGCAUUGACGCUGAGGCACGAAAGCGUGGGGAUCAAACAGG
rnacentral:rRNA from 1 species